UUAUCAACUUACAGUAAUUUUAAUAACUCACUCGAUCCCCAUCAGGUCGGUUGUCUUUUUUUGUUUUUAAUUUAAUUUUAAUUUGAAAUUUAAAAUUAAGAAAUCACAAUCUUUAACAACUUUGGUGCCAUUGAACUAAAGAUUAUGGAGAGAUUGUAAGGAAAAGACAUUACUAGAAGGGACCAUUCAUUAAUAUUGUGCAAAUUUCAAUACAAAUAUUUAAUUUAAUAAUUUUUAAACUCAUUUUUAUAUAAAUUCUAACCCAAGAAUUACGAGAUCUCCCCUUUCAUUCGUGGGCGACAGAGAGAUCACAGCAUUUGAGCCUUUCUUCAUGUUUUUGCUGGAGGUCUAGAGAAAGCUGUAAUCAAAGUAAAUUUCUUUUUCCUUCUCGCAGAGAUCAAGAGAUUAAAUCUAGCUGUAAAAAGAAUGUUUAGUUGAUAAAUAACUCACUUCUUAGCCUAUAUUAAAUGGAACCGAUUCAAAAUGCAUCACCUGUUGCCAUCACCAACAGCACAACAAAUGAAUUAAUGU
rnacentral:misc_RNA from 1 species